rnacentral:rRNA from 1 species
CCUACGGGUGGCAGCAGUGGGGAAUAUUGGACAAUGGGGGGAACCCUGAUCCAGCCAUGCCGCGUGUGUGAAGAAGGCCCUCGGGUUGUAAAGCACUUUCAGUGAGGAAGAACGCCUGGUGGUUAAUACCCAUCAGGAAAGACAUCACUCACAGAAGAAGCACCGGCUAACUCCGUGCCAGCAGCCGCGGUAAUACGGAGGGUGCGAGCGUUAAUCGGAAUUACUGGGCGUAAAGCGCGCGUAGGUGGCUUGAUAAGCCGGUUGUGAAAGCCUCGGGCUCAACCUGGGAACGGCAUCCGGAACUGUCAAGCUAGAGUGCAGGAGAGGAAGGUAGAAUUCCCGGUGUAGCGGUGAAAUGCGUAGAGAUCGGGAGGAAUACCAGUGGCGAAGGCGGCCUUCUGGACUGACACUGACACUGAGGUGCGAAAGCGUGGGUAGCAAACAGGAUUAGAUACCCCUGUAGUC